UACGAAGGGGGCUAGCGUUGCUCGGAAUCACUGGGCGUAAAGGGUGCGUAGGCGGGUCUUUAAGUCAGGGGUGAAAUCCUGGAGCUCAACUCCAGAACUGCCUUUGAUACUGAGGAUCUUGAGUUCGGGAGAGGUGAGUGGAACUGCGAGUGUAGAGGUGAAAUUCGUAGAUAUUCGCAAGAACACCAGUGGCGAAAGCGGCUUCCUGGUCCAGCACCGACGUUCAGGCACGAAAGCGUGGGGAGCAAACAGG
rnacentral:rRNA from 1 species